rnacentral:rRNA from 1 species
UACAGAGACUGCGAGCGUUAUUCGAAUUCACUGGGCGUAAAGGGCUGCGCAGGCGGCCGAGUGUGUGAGGCGUGAAAGCCCGGGGCUUAACCCCGGAAUUGCACCUCAAACUACACGGCUAGAGCAUUGGAGAGGGUAGCAGAAUUCAUGGUGUAGCAGUGAAAUGCGUAGAUAUCAUGAGGAAUACCAGAGGCGAAGGCGGCUACCUGGACAAUUGCUGACGCUCAGGCACGAAAGCGUGGGGAGCAAAAGGG